GACGAACGCUGGCGGCGUGCUUAACACAUGCAAGUCGAACGGAAAGGCCCUGCUUUUGUGGGGUGCUCGAGUGGCGAACGGGUGUGUAACACGUGAGUAACCUGCCCUUGACUUUGGGAUAACUUCACGAAACUGGGGCUAAUACCGGAUAGGAGCUCUUGCAGCACGGUGGGGGUUGGAAAGUUUCGGCGGUUGGGGAUGGACUCGCGGCUUAUCAGCUUGAUGGUGGGGUAGUGGCUGACAAAGGGUAUGACGGGUAGCCGACCUGGGAGGGGGACCGGCCACCUUGGGACUGCGAUACGCACCAGAAGCCUACGGGCCGCAGCGGUCGGGAGUAUUGCGCAGUGGGCGGGAGCCUGAGACAGCGACGCCGGGUGCGGGAUGCCGGCUUACUGGUUGUGAACCGCUUUCGCCUGUGACGAAGCCUGAGUGACGGUAAUGGGUAAAGAAGCACCGGCUAACUACGUG
rnacentral:rRNA from 1 species